rnacentral:rRNA from 1 species
UUGAUCAUGGCUCAGAAUCAACGCUGGCGGCGUGCCUCAGACAUGCAAGUCGAACGAUUAAACUUUCCUUCGGGAAAGAUAUAAAGUGGCGCACGGGUGAGUAACACGUAAGUAAUCUACCUUCGGAUGGGGAAUAACAGUCGGAAACGACUGCUAAUACCGCAUAAUGCAGCGGCACCUAAUGGUGACAGUUGUUAAAGUAUUUAUACGUCUGAAGAGGAGCUUGCGGCAGAUUAGCUAGUUGGUAAGGUAAUGGCUUACCAAGGCUACGAUCUGUAUCCGACCUGAGAGGGUGGUCGGACACACUGACACUGAAUAACGGGUCAGACUCCUACGGGAGGCAGCAGUCGGGAAUUUUGGGCAAUGGGCGAAAGCCUGACCCAGCAACGCCGCGUGAAGGAUGAAGUCUUUCGGGAUGUAAACUUCGUAAGAAUAGGAAGAAUAAAUGACGGUACUAUUUGUAAGGUCCGGCUAACUACGUGCCAGCAGCCGCGGUAAUACGUAGGGACCAAGCGUUGUUCGGAUUUACUGGGCGUAAAGGGCGCGUAGGCGGCGUGUCAAGUCAGUUGUGAAAUCUCCGAGCUUAACUCGGAACGGUCAACUGAUACUGAUGUGCUAGAGUACAGAAGGGGCAAUCGGAAUUCUUGGUGUAGCGGUGAAAUGCGUAGGAUA